UACGGAGGGUGCGAGCGUUAAUCGGAAUUACUGGGCGUAAAGGGUGCGUAGGUGGUUUGUUAAGUUAUCUGUAAAAUCCCUGGGCUCAACCUGGGCAGGUCAGAUAGGACUGAUAGACUCGAGUACGGGAGAGGGUAGUGGAAUUUCCGGUGUGGCGGUGAAAUGCGUAGAGAUCGGAAGGAACACCGGUGGCGAAGGCGGCUACCUGGCCUGAUACUGACACUGAGGCACGAAAGCGUGGGGAGCAAACAGG
rnacentral:rRNA from 1 species